GUUGGGGGCCUGCCGCAACAAACCCCCCGCCUAUAGGGGGCACAUGUGUCCCAUAGGCCCGGGAUAAAAGGCGUUAGCUGUAAUCAAGGAUGUUCACUUAUUUAAUGGGAAUAAACCCUAAGAUGCAUUCAAACUAUUUGACAUGGUAUCAAAUCCCUCUGUUUUAAGAUUUCUUCUUCGACACUUUUUGCGUAUUACCUCAGUCAAAUGGGUUUCUUAAUUUUCGGGUGUUUCAAUUGACAAUUUCUUAGUUUUGGGCUGUCGAAAACCUCAAUAGAGGUUCUGUCAAAGCUCCUUUUGGUGUGUUUUAGUUGGUCAAAUUCUGUCCUUGGGUUUACUUUUCUCAUUUGGCAGAUUGUGUCCUUAGGCUAUCAUCAAAUCUUGUUCUGGUGGCUUGCUUUCUAGUGAUUGUUGAUUUCUAGCGAUGGUGUUUUGUUCGUGGGAUGUGCUGUAGAAAUUUCUGGUGAUCUUCGUGGGAGUAUCUCAUUGUAGAGGCUAUCGAGACUUGUUAUGGCUGCCGUCGACCUGCUUGUCGGAUAUUGUACAGUUGGUGGUCGUGAAUUCAUGUGGUAAAGGUGCAUGGAUUUGGGUGAUUCAUUUGGGGUUAAUUUGUUAGGGGUUGGGCUGAUAAUUGUUUACAUUAGGUCGUAUAUUUGUUUGUUGUAGUGUUGUGGGUUUGUUGGUUGUUAAUUAGGUUUAGGGCAUGUUUUGGAUUGGGCUUAAGUUUAUUUAGUUUGGCCUGCUGCUUUGUUGGUUUGGGUUUGUUGUUUUGUUGAUUAAUUUUGGAUUUGGGCUUGCUGGAUUCGAUUCGUCAAGUCUUCCUCAUUUUAUUUAAUCACGCUGGGUAAAAUCUCUAUUAUUCGUCUUGAUGUGAAGAAUCAUUGUAGUUGGGAAUUACAGUUCAGAAACUUUAUGAAAGGGAAGAAAUAUGGAGAUAUUUGGAUGGAUCUUCUACAGCUCCAACUGAUUCCAAAGAACUUAGCUCAUAGGAAAGUAAGGAUGUUAAGAGUGUUUCCUAGUUAAUAAGUUAUAUUGAAUCACAUAUGAUAAAUAACCUCCGUUCAUAUGCACUUCCAAAGAGAUGUGGGAUUGCCUUAGACGUAUUUAUCAUCAAAAUAGUACUGCCCGAAAGUUUCAAGUAGAAUGAGAAAUUGCCAACUAUAAGUGGUUCAUGGUGAGAGUCAAAGAGAUCAAUUUCGGAUGAAACUAAGACUCGAAUUUAAGAUAGCAUUGGCUGGUUUGCUAAACCGUAUUCAUAUUCCCUUUUUGGUUGUAUGCUUAGGAAAAUUAUUACAUGAAAAGUAGUGUUUUGCCACAUAACUUAGCAUAACUCAAGACAUAAUGACUACUGAGAUGGUUAAUAUGGCAUACGCAAUUCGGGAAAAAUGGUAAAUCCAAGGCACAGAUUCUUUGCUAAAGUUGCAAGGAGUUUGGGCACAUUGCAAAGAAUUGCAGCAAGAAGUUCUACAAUUACUAUAAAAAAGAGGGGCAUUUCAUUAAAGAAUGUAACGUGCGGCCUCAGAAUAGACAAGGUCAAGGUUUUCAUACUGCUGUUCAAUCCAAUGCAACUGCUAUCACCUCUACUCAUGCUCUAGGCAUGGAAUCUAUAGUUGGUUCUACACCGCUCUUAUGCUUGAGAUGUCCAACAGAUGAUUGUUCUCGCUUUCUCUGCCUUUCGCCUUCAAGAUAAAGAAAUUUACUCACCUUUCCUUAGUUGAAUCUACAACCUCCAAUCAUAUGAAUGGUAAUACAGAGGCUCUACAUAACAUUCAUAAGUAUAAAGGUGACCAACAUAUUUAAAUCGACAAUAAUAGUAAUCUUCUUAGGGAAAAUUGCGAUAACGGUCUCUAACCUUUUUAUUUUUUAUAGACUUUAUCCUAACCUUCAUUUUGUGUCAGUGGAGAUUCCUGGCCUUUCAUAAAUAUACACCUAAUGUCUAUAUGGGUGGAAACUACCCAAAAUACCGUCAGUUGACCGAAAAAAUUAAGGAAUCAACAUACAAUAAAAUCGUUCAAAACAUCAUCCAAUUGUGGGUGGUAUUGGACCUCUCUCACUCCAAAAGCUAGCUCACAUCUUUACUUAUUACAAAGAAAACCAUGUAUUGCGAUCCAAUUGCGGAAUAUCAUACUUCAAAGUAGCCAUCUCUGAAGAACAUCAACCAAUCUACAACAAGAACCAAGCUCUGAUACCAGUGUUGGGUGAUAUUGGGUCUCUCUCACCCCAAAAGCUAGCUAACAUUUUUACUUGCCACAAAGAAAAUCGUGUAUUGUGAUCCAAUUACAGAAUAUCAUACUUCAAAGUAGCCAAAUUUGAAGAACCAGUUAAGAGACAUUUGGACAAGUUCAGUACUGUAGUGGAUAUACAGUUUGGUACAAUACAUUUUACAGCGAGCUUUGAGUUGGUUAAAAACACUACUAGGGAGAUGGGCUUGGUUUGUGUUGGACUUCUCUCAACCUAAAAGCUUACUCAAGAGGUGAGGCUUUCCCUCACACUUAUAAACUGAAUACCAACCCUAUCUACAAUCGAUGUGGGACAACUUCAACAAGCUCCCCCUUACGCAUCGAGCUUUGCAAAAAACCAAACACAUCUCCUCCCACACAUCGGGCCCUACAGGAGACCAAACUGUCUCCCCCUCACACAAAGGGUCAGCGGGAGACCAAGCCAGUCUCUUCCUCACAUAAACCCGAAUCUCUACAACUAUUGGGUCGGAGACGAUUGUUGAGCCAGAGACUUGUUGAUAAACCAGGCUCUGAUACCAUUAUUGAGUAGUGUUUGGCCUCUUUUACCCUAAAAGCUAGCUCAAAAGGUGAAACUUUUCCUCACAUUUAUAAACUGAAUGCCAACCUCAUCUACAAUCAAUGUGGGACAACCUCAACAUCAAACACACCGUCCAAAAAGGUAUUAACAUCUAAUAAAACCAUCGCGGUAGCAAAUAGUUUAAGGAAUUUUCACAAUCAACUGACAGUGUUUUGGACAGUUUUUAUCCAAAUGGACCUCAAGUGCAUAUUUAUGAAAGGUUAGGAAUUUUCGCUGGCACAAAAUGAAGGUUGGGGUAAAGUCUGCAAAAAAAUGAAAAGGUUAGGGACUGCUAUUGCACUUUUCCCAUCUUCUUAUUAUUGCAAUUUGAAAUUUGGUGUCUUUUUUCACCAUUGUUACAUGUCACUAGAAUUAUCUACAAACUUAAUUUCUGUUGGACAAUUUGUUGAUGAUAAUUAUGAAAUUCACUUUAUUCAUAAUGGUUGUUGUGUAUAGGAUCAAGCAUAUGUGAUAGUGAUUGUAGGACUUAAAGUGGGACGUUUAUUUCCUCUUCAAUUUUCCCUUUCUACUUUUGAUUCAUUUUUUUGUACUGCUAUUAUUAAUGAUAGUACUGUCGGCAUAAAAAAUUAGAACAUCUCAAUUCUAUUGUUUGUAUUCGUCUUAUGAAAAAUGGUUAGUUAGGUAACACAGAUUCAUUUUCUCCUGUGUCUUCUGAGUGUAGUUCUUGUAAACUUGGUAAGAGCAAGUCUUUACCUUUUCCUACACAUGGUAGUCGGGCUUUCACAUGUUUUGAGAUUAUACACAUCAAUGUUUGGGGUUCAAAUCAUGUUAUUUUCAUGCCCAGUAGAAGUAUUUCAUGACAUUUAUUGAUGACCAUAGUUGUUUUACUUAGUCUAUUUUCUUCGCUCUAAAAUUAAUGUGUUCUCCACUUGUAUUAAGAUUCUUUGCUCAAGAGAGGAGAGUAUAUGUCCAAGAUGACGAUUGUGCGUAUUAUUAUGGCUAUAGCCACGGUCUAUUCUUUACAUAGGGACUACUCCUCCUAAUAUAUUUACUCACUCUUCCACAAAGGUUUGUCGAUUGAAACGGUCUAUGCACAAAUUAAAGCAGGCACCACAUACAGUGUUUGAAAAAUUUCGUACCACUCUUCUUGAUUUUGAAUUUACUCAAAAUCAAUUUGAUUCUUCUCUCUUUUUUAAAAGAACUACCAUUGGACUUGUUGUGCUUCUAGUAUAUGUGAACGAUAUUGCUAUCAUAGGGUCUGAUCGUCGUUGAUUAAGCAACUAUAGAAACAUCUAAACAAUACCUUUCUUGUGAAUGACCUUGGUUCUCUACAGCAUUUUCUUGGUCCCGAGGUGCAUUCCUUUUCUAAUGGUCUACUUUUACAUCAGCAUAAGUAUACCAAGAUAUUCUCACCUUAACUGAUCUCGAGUCUGGGAAUUCCAUCCUUACUCUUAAGGAGGUCAAUGCAAAGCUUAGUUAGGAGAAAGGUGAAUUAUUACCUAAUCCAUCCCUAUAUCGGCAGCUUAUAAGGAGUUUGAAUUAUUUGACUAUUACUCGACCUAAUAUUUCAUUUGCUGUACAGAAGGCAGGUCAGUUUAUACUCACCAAUCUCAUUUAGCAGUUGUAUAACAUAUUCUUCGCUAUCUCAAGGGUACAUAUGGUCGAAGGUUACUUUUUUCCUCCUACAAAUUAUUACAGUUGACAUGUUAUAGUGAUGCUAACUAGGCUAGUCAUGUGGAUACUCGUCAUUCAGUUAUCAAUUGAUGCAUGUUUUUAUUGGUGAUGCUUUUAUUUCUUGGAAGAAUAAGAAGCAGGAUUGAAUUUUGAAGUUUUCUACUGAAUCUCAAUAUCGGGCUAUGUCAUUAGCAUGUUCAAAGAUUGUGUGGCUUCAAGGUUUGUCGGGCAAACUCGAUAUCUCUCGGCUUACUCCUACUUCGCUUCAUAAUGAUAGUACUAGCGCUAUUCAAAUUGCUGUAAAUUCGAUUCUUCACGAACGACCAAACACAUUGAAGUAGAUUGUCAUUCCAUUCAUGAAGAACUUGAUCAACGUGUGAUUACUCUUUCUCACAUUUCAAUCAAAUUGCAAAUGAUUGAUGUGUUUACCAAAGCUUUAUCUUGUUAUCGGCACUCGGUCAUGGUCAGUAAAAUUGAUACUUUCUGACCGACCAGCAUCAAUUUGUAGGGGAUGCUUGCUUAUAAUCAAAGAAAGGCAAUUACUGUACUUACCUUAUAUAGCAGAUUUCAAUUUGAGUGUUGAAGAGAG
rnacentral:lncRNA from 1 species